AUUGAACGCUGGCGGCAGGCCUAACACAUGCAAGUCGAGCGAGCGGCGGACGGGUGUGUAAUGUAUGGGGAUCUGCCUGAUGGAGGGGGAUAACUACUGGAAACGGUAGCUAAUCCCGCAUACCAUCAGAUGACCCCAUAUGGGAUUAGCGUGUAGGUGGGGUAACGGCUCACCUAGGCGACGAUCCCUAGCUGGUCUGAGAGGAUGAUCAGCCACACUGGGACUGAGACACGGCCCAGACUCCUACGGGAGGCAGCAGUGGGGAAGAUUGCGCAAUGGGCGCAAGCCUGAUGCAGCCAUGCCGCGUGUGUGAAGAAGGCCUUCGGGUUGUAAAGCACUUUCAGCGGGGAGGCGGUACCCGCAGAAGAAGCACCGGCUAACUCCGUGCCAGCAGCCGCGGUAAUAC
rnacentral:rRNA from 1 species